rnacentral:rRNA from 1 species
CCUACGGGAGGCAGCAGUGGGGAAUUUUGGACAAUGGGCGCAAGCCUGAUCCAGCAAUGCCGCGUGCAGGAAGAAGGCCUUCGGGUUGUAAACUGCUUUUGUACGGAARGAAAAGGUCUGCCCUAAUACGGCGGGCCCAUGACGGUACCGUAAGAAUAAGCACCGGCU